CUAGAAUACUUUGAAAAUGGCUACUGUUCUUAGCUGAUCCAUCCUUGAAAUCAGCAUUGCUGUCAAAUAGGGAAUACAGAAGGAAAAUUAAACUUUCUUUUAAAGAAAGUAUCCACAGAGCCAUGACACUACCCAUGUAAGACCAUUAAACAUCCCUUUGCUAAUGGUAGCAUGGAACAUAACAGUUAAAUCAUUUCAUACCCAAUAUAACAGAAGUUGUGUGUCCCUGGAGCCAGCACUGAAAGUGGAAGUGGAUAUGAUAUUGUGUAGUGUCAAGAUCAGAGGCUUUGGACUGUUGAAAGUAGAGGCUUAGAUGAGAAGGCAAAGGUGUCUUCC
rnacentral:lncRNA from 1 species